rnacentral:rRNA from 1 species
GAGUUUAAUCCUGGCUCAGAUUGAACGCUGGCGGCAGGCUUAACACAUGCAAGUCGAGCGGUAACAGGAGAAGCUUGCUUCUCGCUGACGAGCGGCGGACGGGGUGAAAUAAUACUUAGGAAUCUACCUAGUAGUGGGGGAUAGCACGGGGAAACUCGGUAUUAAUACCGCAUACGACCUACGGGAGAAAGGGGGCAGUUUACUGCUCUCGCUCUUAGAUGAGCCUAAGUCGGAUUAGCUAGAUGGUGGGGUAAAGGCCUACCAUGGCGACCAUCUGUAGCUUGUUUGAGAGGAUGAUCAGCCACACCCGGACUGAGACACCGCCCGACUUCUACCGGAGGCAGCAGUGGGGAAUAUUUGGACAAUGGGGGAAACCCCUGAUCCAGCCAUGCCGCCGUGUGUGAAGAAAGGCCUUUUGGUUGUUAAGCACUUUAAGCAGUGAAGAAGACUCUUGGUUAAUACCCGUUGGCCGAUGACAUUAGCUGCAGAAUAAGCACCGGCUAACUCUGUGCCAGCAGCCGCGGUAAUACAGAGGGUGCAAGCGUUAAUCGGAAUUACUGGGCGUAAAGGGAGCGUAGGUGGCUCUAUAAGUCAGAUGUGAAAUCCCCGGGCUUAACCUGGGAACUGCAUCUGAAACUGUAGAGCUAGAGUAUGUGAGAGGAAGGUAGAAUUCCAGGUGUAGCGGUGAAAUGCGUAGAGAUCUGGAGGAAUACCGAUGGCGAAGGCAGCCUUCUGGCAUAAUACUGACACUGAGGCUCGAAAGCGUGGGUAGCAAACAGGAUUAGAUACCCUGGUAGUCCACGCCGUAAACGAUGUCUACUAGUCGUUGGGUCCCUUGAGGACUUAGUGACGCAGCUAACGCAAUAAGUAGACCGCCUGGGGAGUACGGCCGCAAGGUUAAAACUCAAAUGAAUUGACGGGGGCCCGCACAAGCGGUGGAGCAUGUGGUUUAAUUCGAUGCAACGCGAAGAACCUUACCUGGUCUUGACAUAUCUAGAAUCCUGCAGAGAUGCGGGAGUGCCUUCGGGAAUUAGAAUACAGGUGCUGCAUGGCUGUCGUCAGCUCGUGUCGUGAGAUGUUGGGUUAAGUCCCGCAACGAGCGCAACCCUUGUCCUUAGUUACCAGCGGGUUAAGCCGGGAACUCUAAGGAUACUGCCAGUGACAAACUGGAGGAAGGCGGGGACGACGUCAAGUCAUCAUGGCCCUUACGACCAGGGCUACACACGUGCUACAAUGGUAGGUACAGAGGGCAGCUACACAGCGAUGUGAUGCGAAUCUCAAAAAGCCUAUCGUAGUCCAGAUUGGAGUCUGCAACUCGACUCCAUGAAGUAGGAAUCGCUAGUAAUCGCGGAUCAGAAUGCCGCGGUGAAUACGUUCCCGGGCCUUGUACACACCGCCCGUCACACCAUGGGAGUUGAUUGCACCAGAAGUGGAUAGCUUUAACCUUCGGGGGAGGCGUUCACCACGGUGUGGUUGAUGACUGGGGUGAAGUCGUAACA